UAGAAUUAAUCAUUAACUUUUAUAGCGCUAAUAAUCAAUUUCUCUGUCCAUUUAAUUAAUAUGUUUAUCUACUUCAAAUUUCUAAUACACGAUUGUUUACGUGGCCGAUAUAAACAGAGUGACCUCUUUCAUAAAAAUUAUAUAAUCGAAUUGUACAAAUACAAUUGACCCUAACCAUAUUUGGAAAUUUCUAAUUUUGUCAUGAUUGCUAUAUAAGUCAAAAUUCUGCUUUGAGACGUCAGAGUUUGAAUUUUGAAUCUUAUAGGUGUCAGUCGAUCCCGGCCUGCCUCUACAUCGGCAACAACGCCCAAACUGCCUUUACAGCGGCAGCAAUGCCAUGUACCAUCCAAGGCAUUGUUCCCAGCUAGUUCCCAACCAAGAUGUCCAUGACUAGUUUUCCCCACAACAUGUAAAGGUCCCAACAUCAACUCUCACAGAUGUAGUGUAUCUGUCGAGAGUCCGAAAGGAAGCAGACCAUGUUUCAGUACCAGAAUAUUCAACUUUUCUCAUUACAAUAAUUGGUGGACGACCCUUAAAGCUGACAUCUAUACAGACAUCUAUAAAAGUCAAAGUUUAUCAUCACAUCCAGACCAAAUAACAUGCUAGAAGGACAAUUCGAACAUUAACUAUUUGCAGUUGGACAUAAUUUUCGUAACUUUCAAACUUUUGGAUUCCAUAGUAUAUACAGAAUAUUUCAUUUGUGACAUUUAGAAAAUCAACAAAAAGGAUACAGUAUGCAGAACUAUGUUAGAACAUUUAUUAACAUCAGUGACAAUAACAAUUGUAAAGUUAUAUUAUUGUGUAUUGUUUAAAAUAUGUAUUUUCAUGAAACUGUAAGUAAUUCCAAAAUGAUAAAUAAGAAAUUUAAUUUUGAUUUUAAGAUUUCCAGCGAUGAAACUAAAUCUUCAUUUUUAUUUUCAUAAACUACAUUGUGUUUCAUCUGUAAAUUUUUAAUUGAAAUGACUAAAACAUUGAUAAUUAAGUUAACAAAUUUGCUCGAUAAAAUGUUGUAAAUUAUGUAUUCAUUUAAAUUUUCAUUUCAUUGAAUAACUUUUCAGAAUAUUAUUUGCAUAUAGUUUUUUACUAAGAUUAGAUUGAAUUUUAUUUAAAGGACACAUAAAGUGAAUCCCCUUGUAAAAUUAAUCUACAUGGAACAUGGUAGGAAGUCCUGUUGCCAUUUGCUGUAAAGAAAAUCGUACAAUAUAGUAAUAAAAAUAGUGUAGAUAUUAACUUAAUAUUGAGAUUGGGCUACCUCAAAGUAGGGGCGCCACAUAUAUAUAAGCAUAAAAAUGGGCUACCUGAAAGAAGGAGCGCCACAAAUAAAAUGGGUUACCUCGCAGGUAGGAACGCCAUGCAUACGAUUAACAGUAACUUAGAGACUAAAAAGAUGCUUAAUCAAAUUCUGUUAAAAGUUUAUUCUGCAUAAUCAUAAUUCAUUUUGAAUUACAACAUUUUGUUGAAACUUUUAGGCGUAUAUAAUUAUUGUACCAUAAAUUUCAUAAUUUUUAAAUAAAUGUCCAAUUGUAAAUUGAGCAAAUAGAAGAAUAAUAGUAAUAAAUAAAUAAUAAUAAUAACAUUUAAAACUAUUGUGGAAAGUUCACAUCAUAAAUAAAACAAACAAUAAAAAAUGUGAUUAAAAAAAAUAAACUCUCAAAAAAAUGAAAAAAAUAAAAAAAAUAGAAAAAUGUUAAAACAAAGUUCAUUCCUUAUUCUUGCUUUAUAUUUAACUUAAUUGUCUACUUUGUUAUUUUGAAGUUUCAUAUGGAUAUUAAUUAUUUACUGAAAUUAAUAAUUAAAAGUUAUAAAUCCAAUAAUCAAUUUAGUAAAUUAUGAUAUUUUAAGUUGCUCUAAAUCUUAUGAAAUAUUAAUUUUUUUUUCUAAUUAAUUUAAAUCUUGGGACAAGAUUUUCUAAAGGAGAAAGAUCUAUUGUGACAGUAUUUUGACACUAAUUUAGGACACAUAUGUUGUUAGAAUUAAUCAUUAACUUUUAUAGCGCUAAUAAUCAAUUUCUCUGUCCAUUUAAUUAAUAUGUUUAUCUACUUCAAAUUUCUAAUACACGAUUGUUUACGUGGCCGAUAUAAACAGAGUGACCUCUUUCAUAAAAAUUAUAUAAUCGAAUUGUACAAAUACAAUUGACCCUAACCAUAUUUGGAACCAAUACACGAUUGUUUACGUGGCCGAUAUAAACAGAGUUACCUCUUUCAUAAAAAUUAUAUAAUUGAAUUGUACAAAUACAAUUGACCCUAACCAUAUUUGGAAAUUUCUAAUUUUGUCAUGAUUGCUAUAUAAGUCAAAAUUCUGCUUUGAGACGUCAGAGUUUGAAUUUUGAAUCUUAUAGGUAAGUCAUGAGUUUUGAAUUGUUAAUUAAAAGUUAUUAAGAUUUAAAGUAAAAUAUUUUAAAACAAGUUAAAUUGAAAUAGAGAUAAUUAAUAGUUUUCAUAAAUAAAGUUUUAAUAAAAUAUCCAUUGUUUUCUUUUAAAGAAAUAAUUGCCAAUAUUUGUUUUACUUUUUUGUGAUUGUAACUGUUUUGUAUUAUUUUUGUUUUUAUUUAUUUUAUUAAAAGAGUUUGAAUUUUGAA